UACGUAGGAGGCGAGCGUUGUCCGGAGUUACUGGGCGUAAAGGGUGCGCAGGCGGCGGUUCGCGUGGAUAGAUGAAAUCUCCUGGCUUACCUGGGAGGAUGGUAUCCAGACGGGAUCGCUUGAGGGUCGGAGAGGGGCGUGGAAUUCCGGGUGUAGCGGUGGAAUGCGUAGAGAUCCGGAAGAACACCGGUGGCGAAGGCGGCCUGCUGGGCAGCGGCUGACGCUGAGGCGCGACAGCGUGGGGAGCAAACAGG
rnacentral:rRNA from 1 species